rnacentral:rRNA from 1 species
GCGGUGCCUCAGACCCACCUAGAGGAGCCUGUUCUAGAACCGAUAACCCCCGUUCAACCUCACCACCCCUUGUUUUACCCGCCUAUAUACCACCGUCGUCAGCUUACCCUGUGAAGGCCCCAUAGUAAGCAAAAUGGGCAAAACCCAA